rnacentral:lncRNA from 1 species
GAGACGAAUAGCGAGGGCUCGGGGAGAAAAAACGGAGGAUGGCAAACGGCAAAGCCAAGGGCACGAGGUAGCGCAGCGCGCACCCAGAGGCUCCUGGGACGGACACCACCCCACGCUCACGGGUCCUCUGGCGGUGUCCUUUGAGCUGCCGGGACGGCGCAAGGUGGCUGAGCGAAGCUUUUUGCUCGCUGCCAUGUUAUGAGGACACUUGGAGAAAGCUACAGGAGAGGAACUGAGGUCUCCUGCCAUCAGCCACUUGAGUGAGCAUGGGAGUGGAUUCUCCAAACUCCAGUUAAGACUUGAGAUGUCCACAGUGGCAGCCACUAGCUUGACUGCAACUUACGAGAGACCCUGAGCCAGAGGCACUCAGUUAAGUCAUACACAGUUUCCUGACCCGUAAAACCUGUGACACAAUGAAGGUUUGUUGUUUUGGGGGUAAUCCGUUAUUCAGCAAUAGAUAACGAAUACAGAAGGCUUGUAAUUGUAUAACCAACGUGAGUUUAUAAGCGGAUAUCUGACCUCAUUUGUUUUCUCCUGAAAAAGUUAUAGAAAAAUCACAAGACUGCAAGUCACUCUCUCUCUUUCUUUUGUGGGGAAUAAACAAGUAUAAUUACAAUUUCUAAACCUAUUGUUUUAUUCUCAAAUAUAAUUACAAUUUAAACAGGAUAUUGUAGAGCUCCAUCAUAGGGAUUAACACUAAUUAGAAUUAAAGAACGUUUUUGUGAAAGUCAGCUUUUUUUUUUUAAAUAAACACUCGUCCCUUGAUAAUGUAUUUCUUUUUCAUAAAAUUAAAAAAAAAAUGUGGGUUGUAGUAGGUGUAUAUAUUUAUGUGGUACAUGAGAUGUUUUGAUACAGGCAUGACGUGUAAUAAUCACAUCAUGGAAGAUGGCGUAUCCAUCCCCUCAAGCAUUUAUCCUUUGUGUUACAAACAAUCCAGUUACACUCUUUUUGUUAUUUAAAAAUGUACAAUUAAAUUAUUAUUGGCUAUAGUCACCCUGUUGUGCUAUCAAAUAUUAGGUCUUAUUCAUUCAUUUAACUAUUUUUUUGUACCUAUUUAUCAUCCCCAUCCCCGGUUCCCUCCCACCACCCACCCCACUACCCUUCCCGGCCUCUGGUAACCAUCCUUCUACUCUCUAGCUCCAUGAGCUCCAUUGUUUUGAUUUUUAGCUCCCACAAAUAAAUGAGAACAUGUAAUG